CGUACUUCACCUUCCUAGCUGUCUCCCUCACUCCCUCUCUGUAACCCUAACUGUCGUUGCGGCUACCGCUCUGAGUCCUUUCCGGCAACUUCUCCUGCGGUUCACUGCCAGCGUUGCUCCUACCUGUGGUGCCCCGUUCCUCUGGCCCCUCACACACACACACACUCACCUGCACUCUCUCAGUCUCCUUUGUCAACCGCUGGAGCUCAGCGCAUUCGCUUUUUCGGCCGCCGCUUCGCCUCCAUCUCGCGCCGCCGCACCUCCUCGCACCUCCCUCCUCCCUCGCCCCGCGCGCGCCGGCCUCUCUCUGCAUUCCGCACAGACCUGCCAAGGCGCUCUCCCGUGUGUGUCGUCGCCCGCCGUCCUUCCCAAGUGCUCGAUGGGUGAUCAUGACGUCGCUCUCUGCCACGUCAGCCGCUACAACCAUGCGAAUUACUGGGCCUUUGUGCCGCUGCCAACGGUCAGCGACGACACGGGAUGCGACAGUCUGCAUCAUGACAGCGCUUCCGAAAGGAUAAGGAUGGCGCCGCCGGCGUCCGCGUCGAAGGCGGGCGCGGCCGAGGAACGCCUGCACCCCUACGAAAGGCGUCUAUUGGAUCAGUACCAGAUCCACCUCCAACCCGCCAACCGCAACCCGCUGAGCCGAGCCGAUUCCGCCGCCGGUCGAGAGGAAACGGCGCAGACCCCCGCGCAGGUGCAGAUGGUGCCUGGUGUUGCUGUUGCGGACUCGACUUCGGAUCAGCACGCCUCUGUUGCAUCCAGUCAGGACCUCGUCGACCUCUUCUUCCUUGAGGGCAGCCAGGCCGUCGACGGUCUGUGCUUCUCGCCCUACCCCAUCUACGGUUGGCGCACGGCCGAGGAGCGCCGGGCUGCCGUUUGUGAGGUUUUCAAGACGUACAACGUGGUCACGCGCCUGCCCGCCUCGCCGGCUGCCCUGGCCGCCGCGCAGCGCCGCUACAGCCGCCACCGGCACUCCGCCAUCGCCCCCAUCAACAAGAGUGCGAUCGAGACGCGUGAGCAGUACUGGCGCCGCCUGUCGAACCUGUACACCCAGAAGGGUGUAAAAGAUGCUGCUUCUGCCGCCGACGCUGCGGCUACGACGGCGACGAACGGUGCCGUCCCCGCUGCCCCCGCCUACGAGCCCGAGGAUCCAUUCUACAUCAUCGAUCUCGGCCGUGUUGUGGAGCAGAUGGCGCGCUGGCGUCACGAGCUGCCGAUGGUGCGCCCUUACUUUGCCGUGAAAAGCAACCCGCAACCGGCUGUUUUGGAGGUGCUCAGCGCCCUCGGCGCCGGUUUCGACUGCGCGUCCAAGGAAGAAAUACAUAUGGUGCUAGGUCGCCAGCUCGUGGCGUCGCCGGACGACAUCAUCUUCGCCAACCCGUGCAAGCAGCUCGGCGACCUGCGUGAGGCGCAGGCGUGCGGCGUGACCUACGUGACGGUGGACAACCCGCUGGAGAUGGAAAAGAUCAGUCGCCUGAUGCCCUCCGCCCACGCGAUUAUCCGCAUCAAGACGAACGACAGCAAGGCCCAGUGCUCCUUUUCCACCAAGUUCGGUGCCCCCCUUGAAGAUGUCGAGGGCCUACUGGAGGCGGCCCGCCAGUUCAACGUCACCGUGUGCGGCGUCAGCUUUCACGUCGGCAGCGGCAACGACGACCAGUCUGCGUACGUGUCCGCGGUACGCGAUGCCUACCAAGUCUUUCAGCAGGCGGUCCAGUACGGCUUCAAGUGCACCAUCCUCGACAUCGGCGGCGGCUUCCCGGGCACGGAGGUCGUCGAGGGCAGCGGCAAUACCUCUUUCGAGGCCAUUGCCCGUACUAUUCGACCGGUGCUGGCGGAGCUCUUCGGCGGCGGUGAUGUCACCAUCAUCAGUGAGCCCGGCCGCUACUUCACGGCUGCCUCGCACGCGCUUCUCAUGAACGUAUUCGCCUCCCGCACGCUGCGACUGUCCGAUGUCGAGGUGAGUCGCCAAGCCUUCCAGUCCGUCGUGUCGAUGGACGAGCCCGAAGAGUACCAGUACUACGUCAACGACGGCCUCUACCACAGCUUCAACUGCAUCCUCUUCGACCACGCCCACCCAACGCUUCUCCUGCUAAACGACGGCGACGGCGCUGACGGGGUGGAGAGUGGCACGGAGGCGGCAGCGGUGUGCAGCGAGGAGGAGGGCGAGACGUCGCUGAGCGGUCCCCUGGCGAACGAUCCACUGUUCAUGUCCGCCUGGGACCGCCGUCGCAGCUUCGCGCGCCGCCCGCUGCGCAUCACAACCAUCUUCGGCCCCACCUGCGAUUCGAUGGACUGCAUCCUGAAGAAGCAGCCCUUCCCGGAGAUGAAGCUGGGCGACUGGCUUCUGGUGCCAGACAUGGGCAGCUACACCACCGCCGCCGCCGGCUUCUUCAACGGUUUCGCGACGCGCCGCCUUGAGUGGGUGAGCUCUGUGGACUUGUGCGCGAGGCCGAGGCCUGUGUAUACGCGUGAGGGCAACACGCUGAGGUGUGUGAGCGAGUGAGAGAGGGACAGAAAGGAGACCCGGUGCUGUAGGGUGUGCUCGUCCAUCCCACAAGAGGAUGGACGGUCUCUUCGCUCCGGCCACCUCACCACCUCCUUUAGCCGCCCCCUCCUCCGCCCCCUCUCCCCCUAUCGUCCCCUUUUCUGUGGUGGUUGCACUUGUAUUCGUGUUGGAUGCACGGCGACGCUGCUCGCUUGUGUUUGUGCGCCUGCGCCUGCGCGCGUGUUUCGCUUUACGUUCACCCCCUGUGGUCCCUUCGUGAGCCUCCCCAUCCCCGCUCUUCUUCGCCGCUGGCUUCGUUGUUGCUCUUCUCUGACGCCUACGCAACGCAAGCCCCCCCCCCUCUCCCUCACCCUUGUGCCCCACAAACUCCCACUGACAGUGCUUCCACUUACUAAGCCGGCCCAACCCCAGCGAAGCCCCCUCGCCGCCGCUGCUGCCGCCGACCCCUUCUCUCUCUUGCCUCGUGUCUCUCCUGCUCCUUUUCUCUUGUCGUGUACACUCCUCACUUACCGCGCGGCCUACUCCUCGUGGCUCCUCAGCGUGGGCAUCAGUGAGCGAGGUCGGCGCACACGCGCGUACGUGGGCGAGCCAGAGAUCAAGUCAUGCCGGGAUAUACCAUGCGUGUGUGUGUGUGUGUGCAUGUCCAUGAGGCUUGCGCGUGUAGGGGUGCGGGGCAUAUCCCGUUGUCGUUUGGCGUUGUCGCUGUCGCUGUCCCCGUUGCUGUUGCUGAAUAGCCUGGUGCUUGUUAGCCACCCCCUCCCCCUCCCUCUAUCUGGCCUUCCUCUGCUCACAACAGGGGCAAAGGCCUUUGCAUUCAUUCUCUAAUUUAUGGCCGUCUCUCCUCCCCCUCCCCUCCCCCUCCCCUCCCUUCUGCCUGCAAAACACCUCUUGUCCUUUCCCUCGGCCGCUUAGCGGAUGCUGGACUGAUGAGAAACGGAGCAGUGAGCGAAGCUCUCCCCCUCUUCCUCCCCCUCUUCCUCCCCCUCCCCUCCCCUCCCCUCCCCUCCCCUCCCCUCCCCUCCAUGUUGUUGUAACGCGCGCAGUACUACGACGUUCACCGGCACCAUAAUAAAUAACAACGUCAUGCAAAGAGCGCGCUUGAGGGAGGGAGGAAGACAGUGACGUGUCCGUGUGUGUGUGUGUGUGUCCGUGUGUGUGUGUGUGUGUGUGUGUGUGUGUGGCAGCAGAGACCACGUGCAUGCACACACAUGUUUAUCUAUCCGUAUAUCGAACCCUCUAGCUGCCUAUCUAUCUGUGUAACUAUAUGCAUAUAUCUGCCGCUUCAACGAAGGCGGCGACGCUGACACGCCCAUGCCCAUGUGCGUUUGAAUAGUAUAGAUAAGAGCAGAGGAAGAGCAGGUGGGGGGGGGGGGGGGGGGGCUUGGCGUGUGCCCGUGUGUGUGUGUGUGUGUGUCGCUCUGCCGCCCUCUUCUGGCCACCUCUCUGUGAGCUGUAUUGAAGUCCUCUCGCAUCCCCACCCCACCCCUCCCUCAUCGCGGAGGCGCACGUCUUCUUCGUUCAUUUAUGUAUGUGCGCGCGCGGCCUCGGGGUCUGACUUCCGCUCAGUGCCAAAAUCGCAGCGCAGGCGGCAAAGACGAGGAGGUGGAAGCAGGGCAGGAGGCGGCUUACGCUCGUGAUCGCUUCCGAGUCGUCGGAAUGACGUCGGUGCACUUUUUGCUGUAUCCGUUUGUGUUGUUUGCCGCACACCAAGCGCACAACCGCAGUCAGCGCCAGUGUGACGGCACCUCUCGUCCCUCCGCCCCUCGCCCUCCCUCCCUGGCCAUCCCACGAUUUCACCACCCCCACGAACGCGAAUCACGGUCGUGAAGGUGCAGGAGGUGGGGGGAGGGGUGUGGUGCACCGAAACUAAGCGUACCGAGAGAGCGAGAAAGCGGCGCAUCGUGCGCAAGCAACAGAGGAGGAUGGACAAUACGCGGAGAGCGUCAUCGGCAGAAAUGCAUGAACGACUUUGGAACUCCCUCUGUGUGCGUGUCUGUGUGUACACGGCAUGUGCGUGAUGGCGGGAGCCUGUCAUGAAGCAAAACGUAAGAGGGAGCACACAACAGUGCGCCGGUGCGCCUUCCGCCUCCCUCAAACAGCCACUUGGCCACACGCUUGCCGGCUCGAAUCCUGCGAAGGAAGGAGCGGGAAGGCCGUCAUCCGAGGGCCCCACCCCGCCCCUUCCUCAUCUAUUUUCCUGUGAGUAAAGUGCCUCUCUCACCGCGCUUGCGUCCAGCCAGCUUCGAUGGACGUCGACAGGGACGCACAACGCGGGAACCAAACGGCCAUGCGCGUCACUACGACGAAGGCG
rnacentral:misc_RNA from 1 species